rnacentral:rRNA from 1 species
UACAGAGGGUGCGAGCGUUGUUCGGAAUUAUUGGGCGUAAAGGGCGCGUAGGCGGUGCCACAAGUCACUUGUGAAAUCUCCGGGCUUAACUCGGAGCCUGCAGGCGAAACUGUGGUGCUGGAGUGUGGGAGAGGUGCGUGGAAUUCCCGGUGUAGCGGUGAAAUGCGUAGAUAUUGGGAGGAACACCAGUGGCGAAGGCGGCUACCUGGACCGGUACUGACGCUGAUGCGCGAAAGCGUGGGGAGCAAACAGG